UACAGAGGUGGCAAGCGUUGUUCGGAAUUACUGGGCGUAAAGCGCGCGCAGGCGGCUAUCCAAGUCAGUGGUGAAAGCCCGGAGCUCAACUCCGGAACUGCCAUUGAAACUGUUUAGCUUGAGGACGAGAGAGGUGAGUGGAAUUCCCAGUGUAGAGGUGAAAUUCGUAGAUAUUGGGAAGAACACCGGUGGCGAAGGCGGCUCACUGGCUCGUUUCUGACGCUCAGGCGCGAUAGCGUGGGGAUCAAACAGG
rnacentral:rRNA from 1 species